rnacentral:rRNA from 1 species
AGCGAACGCUGGCGGCAGGCUUAACACAUGCAAGUCGAGCGGGCACUUCGGUGUCAGCGGCAGACGGGUGAGUAACACGUGGGAACGUACCCUUUGGUUCGGGAUAACGCUGGGAAACUAGCGCUAAUACCGGAUACGCCCUUUUGGGGAAAGGCUUGCUGCCGAAGGAUCGGCCCGCGUCUGAUUAGCUAGUUGGUGGGGUAAUGGCCUACCAAGGCGACGAUCAGUAGCUGGUCUGAGAGGAUGAUCAGCCACACUGGGACUGAGACACGGCCCAGACUCCUACGGGAGGCAGCAGUGGGGAAUAUUGGACAAUGGGCGCAAGCCUGAUCCAGCCAUGCCGCGUGAGUGAUGAAGGCCUUAGGGUUGUAAAGCUCUUUUGUCCGGGACGAUAAUGACGGUACCGGAAGAAUAAGCCCCGGCUAACUUCGUG